rnacentral:rRNA from 1 species
ACGGGUGAGUAAUACAUCGGAACGUGCCCUGUAGUGGGGGAUAACUAGUCGAAAGAUUAGCUAAUACCGCAUACGACCUGAGGGUGAAAGUGGGGGACCGCAAGGCCUCAUGCUAUAGGAGCGGCCGAUGUCUGAUUAGCUAGUUGGUGGGGUAAAGGCCCACCAAGGCGACGAUCAGUAGCUGGUCUGAGAGGACGAUCAGCCACACUGGGACUGAGACACGGCCCAGACUCCUACGGGAGGCAGCAGUGGGGAAUUUUGGACAAUGGGGGCAACCCUGAUCCAGCAAUGCCGCGUGUGUGAAGAAGGCCUUCGGGUUGUAAAGCACUUUUGUCCGGAAAGAAAUCGCACUUACUAAUAUUAGGUGUGGAUGACGGUACCGGAAGAAUAAGGACCGGCUAACUACGUGCCAGCAGCCGCGGUAAUACGUAGGGUCCAAGCGUUAAUCGGAAUUACUGGGCGUAAAGCGUGCGCAGGCGGUUGUGCAAGACCGAUGUGAAAUCCCCGGGCUUAACCUGGGAAUUGCAUUGGUGACUGCACGGCUAGAGUGUGUCAGAGGGGGGUAGAAUUCCACGU